AUUGAACGCUGGCGGCAGGCCUAACACAUGCAAGUCGAGCGAGCGGCGGACGGGUGAGUAAUGUAUGGGGACUGCCCGAUAGAGGGGGAUAACUACUGGAAACGGUAGCUAAUACCGCAUACUAUCGGAUAACCCAUAUGGGAUUAGCUAGUAGGUGAGGUAAUGGCUCACCUAGGCGACGAUCCCUAGCUGGUCUGAGAGGAUGAUCAGGCGCACGGGGGCGGGGACACGGCGCAGGCUGCGACGGAGGCGGGGGUGGGGAAUAUUGCACAAUGGGCGCAAGCCUGAUGCAGCCAUGCCGCGUGUAUGAAGAAGGCCUUAGGGUUGUAAAGUACUUUCAGCGGGGAGGCGUUACCCGCAGAAGAAGCACCGGCUAACUCCGUGCCAGCAGCCGCGGUAAUAC
rnacentral:rRNA from 1 species